CCCGCACAAGCGGUGGAGCAUGUGGUUUAAUUCGACGCAACGCGAAGAACCUUACCUGGGCUCGAACGGCUUCGGAAAGCCGGUAGAAAUACUGGUCCUCCAGCAAUGGAUCGGAGUCGAGGUGCUGCAUGGCUGUCGUCAGCUCGUGUCGUGAGAUGUUGGGUUAAGUCCCGCAACGAGCGCAACCCUUGUCCUGUGUUUGCCAUCAUUAAGUUGGGCACUCUCAGGAGACCGCCGGCGAUAAGCUGGAGGAAGGUGGGGAUGACGUCAAGUCAUCAUGGCCUUUAUGUCCAGGGCUACACACGUGCUACAAUGACCGGUACAAAGCGAAGCCAACCCGCGAGGGGGAGCAAAUCGCAAAAAACCGGCCUCAGUUCGGAUUGCAGGCUGCAACUCGCCUGCAUGAAGCUGGAAUCGCUAGUAAUGGCAGAUCAGCAUGCUGCCGUGAAUACGUUCCCGGGCCUU
rnacentral:rRNA from 1 species